GACGAACGCUGGCGGCGUGCUUAACACAUGCAAGUCGAACGCUCCUGGAGGUUGGAAGUUAGAGGUUAGAAGUUAGAUUAAGAAGGAAUUCGCCGAAGGCGAAUUCUCACACAAUCCAACAUCUAAUUUCCAACUUCCAACCUCUAAGGGGAGUGGCGGACGGGUGAGUAACGCGUGGGCAAUCUGCCCGUAAGAGGGGGAUAACAUCGGGAAACCGGUGCUAAUACCGCAUAAUAUCUGUUUACCGCAUGGUAGACAGAUUAAAGGAGCAAUCCGCUUACGGAUGAGCCCGCGUCUGAUUAGCUAGUUGGUAGGGUAACGGCCUACCAAGGCGACGAUCAGUAGCCGGCCUGAGAGGGUGACCGGCCACACUGGAACUGAGACACGGUCCAGACUCCUACGGGAGGCAGCAGUGGGGAAUCUUCCGCAAUGGGCGAAAGCCUGACGGAGCAACGCCGCGUGAGCGAAGAAGGCCUUCGGGUUGUAAAGCUCUGUCAUCAGGGAAGAAGAGAGUGACGGUACCUGAGGAGGAAGCCACGGCUAACUACGUGCCAGCAGCCGCGGUAAAACGUAGGUCCCGAGCGUUGUCCGGAUUCACUGGGUGUAAAGGGCGCGUAGGUGGUUGUCUGUGUCUCAUGUGAAAACUCAGGGCUCAACUCUGAGAUUGCGUGGGAAACUAGGCAGCUAGAGGACGGUAGAGGGGAGUGGAAUUCCCGGGUGUAGCGGUAAAAUGCGUAGAUAUCGGGAGGAACACCGGUGGCGAAGGCGGCUCUCUGGGCCGAUCCUGACGCUGAGGCGCGAAAGCUAGGGGAGCGAACCGGAUUAGAUACCCGGGUAGUCCUAGCCGUAAACGAUGGGUGCUAGGUGUUGGGGGGUAAAGACCCUUCAGUGCCGAAGCCAACGCGAUAAGCAUCCCACCUGGGGAGUACGGCCGCAAGGUUGAAACUCAAAGGAAUUGGCGGGGGUCCGCACAAGCGGCGGAGCAUGUGGUUUAAUUCGAUGCUGCCCGAAGAACCUUACCAGGGUUGACAUGCUGGUGGUAGGAACCUGAAAGGGGGACGACCCGACCGUAAGGGAGGGAGCCAGCACAGGUGUUGCAUGGCUGUCGUCAGCUCGUGCCGUGAGGUGUCGGCUUAAGUGCCGUAACGAGCGCAACCCUCAUCCCUAAUUGCUCCUGACAGGUAAAAGGGUCAGAGCACAAUAGGGAGACCGCUGGCGAAGAGCCAGAGGAAGGGGAGGAUGACGUCAAGUCAGCAUGGCCUUUAUGCCCUGGGCUACACACAUGCUACAAUGCAGGGUACAACGGGAAGCGAAGCCGCGAGGUGGAGCAAAUCCCGAAAAGCCCUGCUCAGUUCGGAUCGCACGCUGCAAUUCGCGUGCGUGAAGUCGGAGUCGCUAGUAACCGUGGAUCAGCAAAGCCGCGGUGAAUACGUUCUCGGGCCUUGCACACACCGCCCGUCAAGCCACCCGAGUCGGGUUCACCAGAAGGCCGGUAACCGAAGAGGGCCGGACGACGGUGUGCCUGGUAAGGAGGGCU
rnacentral:rRNA from 1 species